GGAUUCCCCUAGUAACGGCGAGUGAAGCGGGAUGAGCUCAAAUUUAAAAUCUGGCUGGUUUACUAGUCCGAAUUGUAGUUUAUAGAAGCGUUUUCGGUGGCAGCCUGGGUAUAAAUCCUUUGGAAUAGGGUAUCAUAGAGGGUGAGAAUCCCGUCUUUGACUCAGUGCAUGCUACUAUGUGAUACGUUUUCAAAGAGUCGAGUUGUUUGGGAAUGCAGCUCAAAAUGGGUGGUAAAUUUCAUCUAAGGCUAAAUAUUGGCGAGAGACCGAUAGCGAACAAGUACCGUGAGGGAAAGAUGAAAAGAACUUUGAAAAGAGAGUUAAACAGUGCGUGAAAUUGUUGAAAGGGAAACGUUUGACACCAGUUAUGCGGGUGGAAAAUCAGUCUUUUGCAAUGGGGAGUUGUGGGCGUUCAGACCGCAAGGCUGGCGUUUGCUUCAUCUUUGUUGUAAGUGAUGCACUUUUUCAUUUGCAGGUCAACAUCAGUUUGCUUUGCUGGACAAAACCCCAAGGGAAGGUGGCAGCUUAGGCUGUGUUAUAGCCCUGGGGCGAUACAGUGGAGUGGACUGAGGUUUCGCAGUGUGUGCUCUCGGGCAAGGCUGACUGGGUGCUAUGGGAUCGUUCGGCGUACAAUGCAUGCAUUUUGCGUCGUGUCUUUUUCAUACUCGCUCAACUCGGCUCUUCCACGCUUAGGAUGUUGACUUAAUGGUUUUAAACGACCCGUCUUGAAACACGGACC
rnacentral:rRNA from 2 species